GUUCAUAAUAAUAGGAUGCAUAUGUUUCAUCAUUUCGUUAGUCCUGGGAGCAUUGUUUUAUAGAUGGCUGAAAAUGGAAAGGGAUUUAACUGAACUGGAAAAACAAAUAAAUGAGAUGGUAAGUGUUGUUCACAUGUGUGACCCUAGCUGGCAGUGGUGGAGUUAUUAGAUGAUGACCAGAGGCGGAUUAACACCCAGGCUAGCCUCGGCUGAGCCUAGGGGCCCAGGUGUGCAAGGGGCCCUGGAUGGGCCAGACUAUUUUAAUUUUGACUUAUAAUAAAAAAAGACUUGACUCCUAAUGGCCCAUAACAAGAACCAUUAAAAAGUGAAGCAGCUGAUUGGGUAGAUGUGUGGGCCAUGUCAUGUGACCAGGUUCAUAAAGUCAGUUUGGUUGUAAAGGAAUACGUCACGUCUGCUGGACAGCAAAGAUGCAGAAUGUCUGAAAAGGCGAAAAGCACAAGUGUUUCCAUUUGUCGAUAUAGCACUCUGACUAUUUAUGACUUUGCCUGCGACCAAUGCCAGCAGGGGGUGCUCUUCUUCAAUAUGGGCGGUAGUUAAAGAUAGACUGAGAUCCACAAUGGGCCAAAACAGACAGAAUCACCCGACUCUAAUCUGUCCGUUGAUAGCGAUAUUCUGCCCAAAUUGGAUUUUACCAGCCUCAUUAAGGAGAUCUGUCGGUCGGUUGGUCAACAGAAGGGAGGCCAUGUAAUAUUCCUAGCACCCUUUUAUACAUGGCAAAAAACGUAUUACUUUUUUUACUGCGUGAUUAGUAAGGGGGCCUCACAAAAAUACUAGCCUAUAAGGGCCAAUCACCACCUUAAUCCACCACUUAUGAUGACCUUGCAAUGAACCUAAUGUUCAUAUUUGAUUCACAUUUUUAUUUGUAUUGAAAAAGGAAACACAGGAUCAGAGGUCGGAGUGUUACGGUAAGUUCUUAUUCCACAUGCUUCACUUUGUAAAUGAGUAACAGAUCAUUUAUUAAUAUCCAGUGAUUUGCAAGUAUUACUAACUCACACCAAGUCAAAUGAUAUCGCUGUGAUUCAAAACAUUUCAUCUAAUUGUACCAGAGAGUCAGAGCCUACCUAGCAGAGGGACCAGAGUGGCAGAC
ensembl:lncRNA